rnacentral:rRNA from 1 species
UUUCGCAAUGCCCGAAAGGGUGACGAAGCGACGCCGCGUGUGGGAAGAAGGCCUUCGGGUUGUAAACCACUGUCGGGAGUUAGGAAAUGUAAGGGUGUUAAUAGUACCCUUACUUGACUAAGGCUCCGGAGGAAGCCACGGCUAACUCUGUGCCAGCAGCCGCGGUAAUACAGAGGCGGCAAGCGUUGUUCGGAAUUAUUGGGCGUAAAGAGCACGUAGGCGGCCUUGUAAGUCAGUUGUGAAAGCCUUCUGCUUAACGGAAGAACAGCAGCUGAUACUGCAAGGCUAGAGUGCGGAAGGGGAGAGUGGAACUUCUGGUGGAGCGGUGAAAUGCGUAGAUAUCAGAAGGAACACCGGCGGCAAAGGCGACUCUCUGGUCCGUAACUGACGCUGAGUGUGCGAAAGCUAGGGGAGCAAACGGGAUUAGAUACCCCGGUAGUCCUAGCCGUAAACGAUGGGCACUAAGUAGAGGGGUUUUA